UCACUCUCUCCUCCAUCAUUUUUGCAUUCGACGACGCCUCCCUCCCUCCCUCCCUCUCUCUCUCUCCCAGUCGACUCGACGAAACCACCACCACACCACCUCCAAAUCGCCGCCGUCCGCAACCCCCACCUCAAUCGAUCUCUCUCUCUCUCCCUCUCCCUCUCGGUUCCUUUCUCUCUCUGUCCCUCGCUCUCUGUCUCUCUCCCUCAUUCAGUCUCAGUGAGUGAGUUGAGCGAGAGAAAAACGGAUUUUCUCACGCUCUCUGGCCGCAUCCACCUUCAAGAGACACAAGAGAGGUAAUUUUCCGUUUGAUUUUGAGUUGAGGUUUGGUAAUGUCGAAUCAGGGUUUCAAUCAGCAAUGGGGAGAUGUUCAUCAGUGGGCUUGUGAUUGGAAUAGCAAGAGUUACAUAUUUAAGUGUCUGAUCUCUCUUUGCCGAUUGCACAAUUGUUUUUUGUGAGUUGGCGCCAAUGGGUCGGGAAAGACGAACUUCUUCCAUGCAAUUCGGUUUGGUUCUCAAGCUAUCGUGUUUAGUCAUUUGCUUAAUAAACAAUUUUUGUUGCAAUAUAUGCCAUGAUUGAACAGGAAGGGGCAGGUCACCACAGGUCACUCUUCCUUCCCCGAAUCUUCUCUCCCUUUUGCUCUGUACAUGUAUGCGUUUGUCUUUUGCCUUGUGGAAAUAGGAACUCGACAGAGAGAUGCUACCUUCAAGUGUGGCUUGUGGUCAUUCAACCCAACUUACAUCUCUUUCACAGUUAGUUAUGAGUCUUAUGUAAAAAUAUUUUUGUGUGGGAGUAGAUGUGCUUCCAGGAUGCCAAAUCAUGGUUUUUUUUUUCUUGGUGCAUGGGUUGGGUCGAUGCUCAUGAUAGGAAUCGACCAUAAUGUGCUUGCACUUGCAACUUAUUUUUUUUUCUUUAAAUAUAAAUCUUGUUUUCAAGUUUUCCAAAAGAUUUUGGAGCGACAAAGUGACUAGGGUUUACUCUCCGGUCUCCGCUAAGUUGAUUCAGUCUUGGUUGAUGCAAUUAUGUGGACAAAACCACGAUUUUAUCAAGGUUUAAAGAUAAUAAUGGAAGGGGAGAAGCAGCUUAGCAUACUUUAUCAAAAACAAGGUUGUGCCACCCAGUUUUCAAGUAAAGCUGCUCGUGACAAAUGUCUCCAAAAGGAAAUUGAUGAUCUCGAGCGAGUUCUUUCUUCAAGUUUGGCACAGGAGCAAAAAAACUUCAGGAUGAACUUAAACGGCUUAAUGCCGAGUUGAGCGAGCGGGAUGCCUACAUUGAUUCUCGAGGAAGAGAGAUUGCUACUAUUGAAUUGAAUCUCUCAUCUCUCAGUCACAUGCAGUGUUCAAUCAUCAUAAGUCACAGAGGGACAAGUUGCAGGAUGAGCACAAGUCCUUGUGGAAGAAUGAAACUGAACUUUCUGCUGAAAUUGAGAAGCUGAUAACAGAAGUUGAGACGGCUGAAAAAUGCCUGGAUCAUGCAACUCCUGGUUUUGUUUCACGUUGUGGUUGAAAAUGAUGAAAUAUCAACACAGAUAAUUAAGCACCUUAAUUCAUUCAAGGGUGGACGAGUGACAUUUAUCCCCCUAGAUAGGGUGAAGGCUCCACGGGUAACUUAUCCACAGAAUUCAGAUGUGCUUUUUCUGUUAAAGAAGGUACUUGCAAGAACAGUUGUUUGUUGAGAUCUGGAUGUGGCUACAAAGGUUGCUCACGCCGAUGGUCUAGACUGCAUUACUUUGGAAGGUUUAAGAUAGAGCUACAGACUCUCUCUGCGUUAUCUGUUGCACAAUAUUAUAAUUAUUAGUUCUAAACCUUGAAGUUUGUGUGUACAAUCAUACAGAACACAAAAUCUAUUAACAUGAAGGAGGAAUAAAGGGAGAAAGUUAGAUUUAUGCUUCAA